GGAAGCGUGGUAGGAGAAGAUGCCUGUGCAUGCCGCUCAUGUUUCCAGCAGGGCAAUGUAGAUGCAUGUCAGGAAAGAUGAUUAGAUAGUUUAGAACCAGAUCCUUGUCUGAGAUGGAAACUGCAGCUGCUAAUUAAGAAGAGUAGAGCUCGAGGAAGCCGCCAGCUGCCAGCCUGGUGCUGCCUCUCCUGCAAGUGUGAAGUGUGGCUGCAUCCAGAAGCACUGAAAAUAAUUGAUUAGAAAGAGAAAGAGACUGAAAAUGUCAUAAAUGAGGAGAUAAUUGGAGAAAAUCAUUGUGAAGAGGUAUGAAUGGAUGGCAACACAAAUGGAGUAAGACUUAAAGAGAUAUAAGCCUACCAAAUGCUGACAUGAUUUUUGUGAGUUGUGAAGAUUUAAAGAAAUCUGUUUGAAUAACAAUUUUUGAGGCUACCUAUAAAUUUGUGUUCAUUACUUCCACUAAGCAAGGUUCUUUUGAUUAUUCUUUGAUCAUUGAAAUGUUUUAUAUUUUAUUUAAUUUACAGCAACAAAAAUAACUCUUGAGAAGAAAUAAAUGUGAACCUAUGGAGAUAAUUAUUUAGUAAUGUUUGAAAUAUAUGAUUUAGAACAUUUCAUUGCACUUAUUAAUGAGUAUAAGAAUAUUAUGAAAACAGAAAAAUAAUGAGCCUUGUAAGAGUUCACACAAUUAUUUUAUGUAAUUGGUAUUCUAUAUUCAAGGAGAGCUUGAAUGCAGAAAUUAAAGAAGCAUAUGCUCAUUUGAAAAGAGACAAAUCUAGUAGUGUAAUUAAAGCUUGUGCCUUAUAACACAAUAAAAAUAUUCAGAAGGAUUUUAUCCUUAAUUGUGACAUAAAAUGAUUUCUAACCUUUAUUUUUUGAGUCAGAAAAAACGGAGGAAGCAUGGGUUCUUCUUUGCUAUAUGAAAUCAAAGUAACUUUACAAAUUUGAAGUGCUUAGUUAUCUAAAAUCAUAUCAUGGAAAGAUAUAUAUUUAUAUUUUGAUUGUUUUAUGUAUGUAACUUUUUAAAGAUCAGAGUGAUCUGGGCAAGAAACCAGUGCUAUCAGCCAGUAUUGCAUUUUGUUUACAUGUAAUAGAAAUCCAACUAAACAAGGAUUUUAUUUUCAUCAUGUUACAGAAAGUUAGGAUAUAGGAAGUCCUUCCUUGUAGUUGCUCAAGGAAAUCAUGAAGGACCAAGUUUAUUCUAGCUUCCUGCUCUGCCACCUUUAGCAAGUGGACAGUCCCCCUACCUCUCAUAGGCAAUGAACUUCUUCAUAUCCAAGCAUGUGCUUAGGGCAGAAGAAAGGGAUUGGUGAGAACAAAAAUCACAUGCCAGUGAAGUCUGUUCAUCUUAUAUUAGGAAAUAAUAGCUCCUGCAAAUGUCUUACUUGAUAGGCUUCUACCACUGGAACUGCCUCACAUGACUACCACUAGAUAGAAUGGAAUCUGGCUUGAUGAGUAUUUUUAAGUGGAUACAUUUACUUCCUAAACAAAACCAAUAUUCUAUUAAUAAAAGAGAAAGGAAGAAAGAUUCUUGUAAGGCAGCUAAUAUUUCUGUCACACAGAGAAAAACAAAUUGAUAAUGCAGUACAAGGUUGAUAUUUUAAGGUAGAGAUUUUUAGCUUGAGCAUUUAGCAUCCAUUUGUUCUUUUAAUGUAAAUGUCAAACAAAAUACAAAAAUCGUAUGUAUAAUUACCAAAAACUAUUUAAAAGUAAAUUUAUAAUUCACUCAAUAGAGUAAUAUAGAUUAAAUAAUUUUUGUAAAAUUUAACGUGUUUUUGCUUUCAAAAAAUACAAAAGAUAAAAAAAGAAUAUACAGCUAAACAGUCUAUAUGGAAAAAACCAUAAAAGUGUCAAAAGUAAGAUGAUGGCUUAUGAAAAUUACAUUUUUACAUUUAUGGAUGUGACCUGAAUGUAAAUGUAAGUAAAUUGUAAAUGUAUUAUAAAUGAAUGUAAAAACCAAAAUAAAGUUGUUUAUUGGCAAGAUUGAUUUAAAAAAAAGAAAAUAACGGGUGCUAGGUGAUAUUUUGUUGUGGUUUUGAUUUGCAUUUUUCUGAUGAUUAUUAAUGUUGAGCAUCUUUUUGUAUACCUAUUGGCCAUUUGCAUGUCUACUCAGGUUCUUUACCAAUUUUUAAAUAAAGUUAUUAUUAUUUUUGCUAUUGAGU
rnacentral:lncRNA from 1 species